rnacentral:rRNA from 1 species
UUGAAAGGGAAACGAUUGAAGUCAGUCGUACCGACGAGAAAUCAGCUUUUCGAAUGUGCAUUUGUGGGCGUAUGAGAUCUUCAUUGUUUGCAAUAUGUAUAUUUCUUUGGUGUACUUUUUCGUAUGGUAGGUCAACGUCGGUUUUGAUCGCCAUAAAAUGAUCGGAGGAAUGUAGCUUCGGCUUCGGUUGAAGUGUUAUAGCCUUUGGUAAAUGUGGUGAUUAGGACCGAGGAUUGCAACGAAUACCUUUUAGGCUAUCCGUCUGACCUCUGAAAGUUACUUAGGUGCCGAAAGCUUGCUUACGGUCAUUUAAGUUGACAGUCAAUAGGUUAGAACGUGAUUACAUUCGUUAAGGAUGUUGACGUA